rnacentral:rRNA from 1 species
UACGUAGGAUGCAAGCGUUGUCCGGAAUUAUUGGGCGUAAAGAGCGCGCAGGCGGCCUAUCAAGUCAGAUGUGAAAUAACCAGGCUUAACCUGGUGGGGUCAUUUGAAACUGGUAGGCUAGAGUACAGCAGAGGAUAGCGGAAUUCCCGGUGUAGUGGUGAAAUGCGUAGAUAUCUGGAGGAACACCGGUGGCGAAGGCGGCAUCCUGGACCGGUAUUGACGCUGAGGCGCGAAAGCCAGGGGAGCAAACGGG